rnacentral:lncRNA from 11 species
CGGUGGCGAAGUAUGUUAAAGCGCUGAGCUGCUGAACUUGCAGACUGAAAGGUCCCAGGUUCAAAUCCCGGGAACAGAGUGAGCGCCCGCUGUUGCUCCAGCUUCUGCCAACCUAGCAGUUCGAAAACAUACCAAUGUGAGUAGAUCAAUAGGUACCUCUCCGGCGGGAAGGUAACGGUGCUCCAUGCAGUAAUGCCGGCCACAUGACCUUGGAGGUGUCUAUGGACAACGCCAGCUCUUUGGCUUAGAAAUGGAGAUGAGCACCAACACCCAGAGUCAGUCAUGACUGGACUUAACGUCAGGGAAACCUUUACCUUACCUUUUUCUCUUCAUUAUGCUGCACUUGAAAUCACCCCAUCCAAGCCCUGCCGUUAUGUAAGGAGUUAUUCAGCAGAGUACAGGAUCCAAGAACGAUCACAUCUGGUUGCCAUCUCUUCACACCAAGUAAAUUUGGCAUGUAUAAAUAUCUGGCAGGAACAUGGUUUGGUAAUCGGGACUAUGCAGAAGGUACUUCAGAGGAUGGGCAAAUUACAUUUCCAAUCCAUCCUUAUCCUUAAAUAUGAAGAGCCUUGAAAGCUGAAGACGGACUUAGAAGUGUCCUUCGUGUGUUACUGCAAAGGAAGUGCACAUAGCAUAGAUUGCCGGCAGCCUUUCAUACUCCUCAAAGGCCCAAUGACAACAGAUGUCUUAAUUAGUCAGAGGUCAUUUGGCUCAACUACAUAGGAAUCUCAGUAGCCCAAUUUUGCCAAAUCAUUUCAGGAGGAUGUGUUGUCGAAGGCUUUCAUGGCCGGGAUCACAGG